ACAAGACAGAGAAGAAAAAAUGGAAAAAGUUUUCGAUGAUAUUGAGACAAACAUGAAUUUAAUUGGAGCCACUGCAGUUGAAGACAAGCUACAAGAUCAAGCUGCAGAGACCAUUGAAGCUCUGCAUGCAGCAGGCCUGAAAGUCUGGGUGCUCACUGGGGACAAGAUGGAGACAGCUAAAUCCACAUGCUAUGCCUGCCGCCUUUUCCAGACCAACACUGAGCUCUUAGAACUAACCACAAAAACCAUUGAAGAAAGUGAAAGGAAAGAAGAUCGAUUACAUGAAUUAUUGAUAGAAUAUCGUAAGAAAUUGCUGCAUGAGUUUCCUAAAAGUACUAGAAGCUUUAAAAAAGCAUGGACAGAACAUCAGGAAUAUGGAUUAAUCAUAGAUGGCUCCACAUUGUCACUCAUACUAAAUUCUAGUCAAGACUCUAGUUCAAACAAUUACAAAAGCAUUUUCCUACAAAUAUGUAUGAAGUGUACUGCAGUGCUCUGCUGUCGGAUGGCACCAUUACAGAAAGCCCAGAUUGUCAGAAUGGUGAAGAAUUUAAAAGGCAGCCCAAUAACUCUGUCGAUAGGUGAUGGUGCCAAUGAUGUUAGUAUGAUCUUGGAAUCCCAUGUGGGAAUAGGUAUUAAAGGCAAAGAAGGUCGCCAAGCAGCUAGGAAUAGCGAUUAUUCUGUUCCAAAGUUUAAACACUUAAAGAAACUGCUGUUGGCUCAUGGACAUCUAUAUUAUGUGAGAAUAGCACACCUUGUACAGUACUUCUUCUAUAAGAACCUUUGUUUCAUUUUGCCACAGUUUUUGUACCAGUUCUUCUGUGGAUUCUCACAACAGCCAUUGUAUGAUGCUGCUUACCUUACAAUGUACAAUAUCUGCUUCACAUCCUUGCCCAUCCU
rnacentral:sRNA from 1 species